AGUGGCUCACGCUAUGGUGUUCAAAACUAGUUAUCUAAAUCUUUCACCCUAAACCCGGGAAUUGUAGCAAGGGCUCUAGAAUCAGGGUUUUCUGAAUUUUCAGGGGAUUAGCAUUAUACAUGUCAACUUGGAAAAACACAGAACUACUAAUAUAGUCAGCAAAACCAAGUCUUUAAUCAGGAAGUAGAUAGGUCCAUAAUAAUCGGUUGCUAUCACAGAGCCAAGUGCCAAAAACUACACAGAGUCAAAACUCUGGGGCUCUGGAGACAGUAUCUCUGGGAAAAUCAACAGGAUAGAAGAUUCUCCAUAGAAACAAUAGAACACAGGAAUCUUGUAACCUUUUGGGGUACUCAGGGCAUUAAACCUACACUGACAGAUUGUAAGCAGGCUUGGGAAAGAGACUGUAGCCAGAGGCUGGGGUAUCAGGGAGUGGUCUACUUACAAUGGAUACUAAAAGGAUGAUUCCUGCACAGGUGGAAUAGAUCUCAGAUAUAAUGGGGAAACUUCUAAGAAUAAAUGGGACUGCUAACCCCACCUAAGCUGGGAUGUCAAGUACUUUAUGAUCUAUUGUUCAGUCUGAAAUGAGUGAGUCUGGGACUUCCCUUGGGAUGAAGAGGAAUUUUAUUUUCUUUCUUUCUUUCUUUCUUUCUUUCUUUCUUUCUUUCUUUCUUUCUUUCUUUCUUUCUUUCUUUCUUUCUUUCUUUCUUUCUUUCUUUCUUUCUUUCUUUCUUUCUUUCUUUCUUUCUUUCUUUCUUUCUUUCUUUCUUCCUUUCUUCCUUUCUUCCUUUCUUCCUUUCUUCCUUUCUUCCUUUCUUCCUUUCUUCCUUCCUUCCUUCCUUCCUUCCUUCCUUCCUUCCUUCCUUCCUUCCUUCCUUCCUUCCUUCCUUCCUUCCUUCCUUCCUUCCUUUCUUCCUUCCUUCCUUUCUUUCUUCCUUCCUUUCUUUCUUUCUUUCUUUCUUUCUUUCUUUCUUUCUUUCUUUCUUUCUUUCUUUCUUUCUUUCUUUCUUUCUUUCUUUCUUUCUUUCUUUCUUUCUUUCUUUCUUUCUUUCUUUCUUUCUUUCUCUCUUUCUUUCUCUCUUUCUUUCUUUUCUUUUUUCUUUCUUUCUUUCUUUCUCUCUUUCUUUCUUUCUUUCUCUUUCUUUCUUUCUUUCUUUCUUUCUUUCUUUCUUUCUUUCUUUCUUUCUUUCUUUCUUUCUUUCUUUCUUUCUUUCUUUCUUUCUUUCUUUCUUUCUUUCUUUCUUUCUUUCUUUCUUUCUUUCUUUCUUUCUUUCUUUCUUUCUUUCUUUCUUUCUUUCUUUCUUUCUUUCUUUCUUUCUUUCUUUCUUUCUUUCUUUCUUUCUUUCUUUCUUUCUCAUUUGGACUCUCCUAUAGUUAAUGGGAUUUGUUGGUUUUGUUUUGUUUUGAGAUGUACCAUUUAUUAAAACUAGGAUGAUAUGGAUUGUGGCUGCUGCUGUUCUGAACCAAAGAUGGAGAGGUUUUAGCAGACUCCUUGCUGUUUGCAGAACUACAGCUGGUGAAGUGAUAGAUCCAUUCUCUGAAUAGGCAGCAGAGGAGGAAUCUGAUCCUUGGGAUUCCUG
ensembl:lncRNA